rnacentral:rRNA from 1 species
GGUUGCGAUCAUACCAGCACUAAUGCACCGGAUCCCUUCAGAACUCCGCAGUUAAGCGUGCUUGGGCGAGAGUAGUACUAGGAUGGGUGACCCCCUGGGAAGUCCUCGUGUUGCAACCCC